CAUCUUCAUGUUGGUCUUCAUUCUUCAUCAUGUUGGUCUACAUCUUCAUGUUGGUCUACAUCUUCACCUACAUCUUCAUACCAACAUGAUGAAGAUGUAGACCAACAUGAUGAAGAAUGAAGACCAACAUGAAGAUGU
rnacentral:pre_miRNA from 1 species